rnacentral:misc_RNA from 1 species
AGUAAAAAAAAAAAAGUGCAGCUGUGCAGCCGUACCUUCUUUUAGCAGUCACAAAAGCUUCACAAAAAGAAAGAUCAAAGCACUUUUAUGUCGGUUCAAAAAUAGAUAAAGAAAAGGAGGAAGAAGCUAGCUCCUAAUAAGGCAAAAUCUGCAAAUUAUGGUUGGAAGCAAUCGGCUGAAGUACCUUAACAAUCACGUCUCAAGAUUUUUUAAGAACAUCACAGAAUAAGCAUAAACUCUGCCCCCUUAAUCUGUAUAUUUACAUGUAUGCUCUUUUGACACAAACUCAUGGUUAGUUCUGUAGAUUUUGCUCAAAAAAUUUGUAAAUCUCACUGCAACAAAUCCUUAUUCAUAUUCUGGCUUUAGUUUAUAUAGACCAAAUAUGGUUAACCUGGAGAGUAGCAAGAUCAUGAGCUACGUCUAAAAAUUAACAACACACACAUACACACAAAUAUAAAGGAUCUGGACGUGAAAGUUUUUAGUGGCAAAGAAAAUUACCAUGGCAAGAAGAAGAUUCCUUGGGCUAUGGUACUUUUCCCAGUCUCUGGCCUUGGCAAAGUCCUCCAGUUUCUUUGCAAGGUCCUUAAGGCUAAUGUCCAUCACUUUCUCUUCCGCAAUCUCUUCUCCUCCUUCUCCCAUGCUUCAACUCUUUUAGGUCUGUAGUCAGUUUAGAGAUAAGAGGGAUUCUUA